UCUCCUCCCCCGCGUUUUCUCUCUCUCUUCUCCCUCUCUCUCCCCGCGUCGGCCUUCUUCCUUAUUUUCUUGAUUUCUUCUCUGUCCGGCGGCGGAUUUGAGUGAAAUCGGUGGCUAUGGACUCGUCUCGACCUCCUCUUGGUGCCUGCGGUGGUGGCUCAUGGCGGCUUGGCCGGAAAAUGACGCAUCGAGCUGUGGAAGUUUCACUGUAGCAGAAGUGGUCAACGCCGAUUUCUUCUGAUUCCGGCUACCCCAGACGGCAAAGUUGGGUCCUUUGGAAGCGCCUUACGACGUAGAUGAUGCUCCCCAAACCUCUUGAAGCGAUUUGCAGCGUGGAAGAAGAAAGCAUAAUUGGAAGAUUUUACUGUUCAUUCGGGUUCAAUCUUCCCCUUAAUUGUUGAGGGCAAUGUUGCGAGCUACGGCUAGACGAAGAAACUCGUACGCUUGAUCGCCUAAAUAGUACUUUUGCAGGCGAAAUUAGUUGAGGUCGGGCGUACAUUGGAGUUGAGGCAUAGUCAACAGCCUAGCUUCCGCGGUUGCCUUUGAGUUAGGUUGUCCUUAUUUUCCUUUCUAUUAGAAUUGCUCUGAUUACCUAUGGGAUUUAUGUUUUUCAAGUUGAGGCUUUGUGUUUUGUGAAUUGGAGAUUGGUGUUGAGUUGGGGAGCAGGGUGGCUCCAGAAGUAUAAGGAUGAUUUGAUUUAGAAGUGUAAAUGCUUUCUACAGGUUUUGGGUAGCCCAUUUUAGGGGAAGUUCCGCCAAAUUUUUGGUCGAAUUUCUUCUAAGG